AGGAUGAGACCAAAGGUGGAGGCUGGAGGCACCCCUCCCACUAACACCUGAUCCCAGGUCGCUGGCAGUGAGAAGGGGAAGGUUGAGAAACGCACAGGAUGGAUACGCACAGGACAGAUAGCUCUUGUGAGCUGAAAAGGCACCCCCCUGCCCCACAGUGUGAAGAUCAAAUGCAGCAGCAGACGAAGGGGAAGCAAGCAAGGACCCUAGCUCAUGAAGAGCCUCCGGCCCAAU